rnacentral:tRNA from 1 species
GAGGUAUUAGUAAAACAAUUACAUAGCCUUGUCAAGACUAAAUUGCAAGUGAAAACCCUGCAUACCUCA